rnacentral:rRNA from 1 species
UAGAUCCGUUAAAGCGGCGGACUGGUGAGUACGCGUGGGUGACCUACCUUAACGUUGGGGAUAGCCGUUAGAAAUAGCGGGUAAUACCGCAAUACGAUCGCAGUGACUAUGGUUUUGUGACUGAAAGUGAGCUUUGGCUCCGACCUUAGGAUGGAGCCCGCGUUCCCAUUAGCUAGUUGGCGGUGUAAAUGACCACCAAGGCGAAGAUGGGUAGCACGGCCUAAGAGGGUGAACGGCCACAUUGGGACUGAGAUACGUGACCAGACUCCUACGGGAGGCAGCAGCUAAGACUAUUACCACAAUGGACGAGAAGUCUGAUGGAGCGACGCCGCGUGGAUGAGGAAGGCCGCAAAGGUUGUACAAAUCCUUAUUGCGAAUGACACGAAUAAGCGGUGGAGGGAAUGCCAUCGCUGAUGACGUUAGCUCUCCGCGAAUAAGCCCCGAGCAUAAUUACGU